GAAAGGAACCGUUCCUCUCCAGCUCCAUCCAAACCCAUUUUCGAUCGAAAGCGGGGAAGGGCUUCUGGCGCAGCCAACGAAAAAGCAAAACAAAAACCACACCGCCGGCCGCAGGAGCGCAGCUGGACAGCGAGAGCAAAAGCAGCCCUGCGGGCGCCGCCAGUCCCUCAAAAAUGCUCGGAGGAGAUUAGUCUCGGCGGCAACGAAAGCCUCCCGACUCACACCAAGGCCUUUGGCGCCCUUUCGCUUUCCGCGGCGGAGGCCCCUCGGCGAGCUUUAACGGGAGGGAGAGGCACCGGCGGACGGGGCUUCUGGCUGGGCAACUGGGCCGACCUCUCCAGGGGCCAUGAAGGAGACCGGCUGGCUGGUGGCGGCGGUGGCGUCCGCCGCGGUGCCCGCCGUCCUUUUCUACCUCGGCUUCGUGAGGCGCGUCACGGGGGCUUCGCGCACCGUCUUCCGUCGCCGAGAGGCCGGGCGGGCCGAAGGGACGGGAAGGCCGCCGGCCGACGGGCUUCAGUGGGUCCCCAGACUCUCUGGCUUCCUUCUGCGGCUUGUUGUACAUUUGGCCAACACUGUAAGUAUUUAGCUUGUCCACUCUGUUUAAAUUGUAUUUUUAGAAGCAUAUUACUGUGUUUCUGUGGUGUAUAGUUUUAUUUUGUGAGUGAGAAUGUGAAGCAUUGGAUAAUCAGGUCAUCACAUCUUUUACAAGUGCUGAAUAAAGCUGUAAUUACAGAGGGUCA
rnacentral:lncRNA from 1 species